rnacentral:tRNA from 1 species
GGGACAGUAGCUCAGCUGGGAGAGCGCCGCACUGAAGAUGCGGAGGUCGCUGGUUCAAGUCCGGCCUGUCCCACCA